rnacentral:rRNA from 1 species
AGAGUUUGAUUCUGGCUCAGGAUGAACGCUGGCGGCGUGCUUAACACAUGCAAGUCGAACGGAGUUUUUAAACGGAAGUUUUCGGAUGGAAGUUUAGAAACUUAGUGGCGGACGGGUGAGUAACGCGUGGGUAACCUGCCUCAUACAGGGGGAUGACAGUUAGAAAUGACUGCUAACACCGCAUAACAUAGCGAAACCGCAUGAUUUUGCUAUCAAAUAUUUAUAGGUAUGAGAUGGGCCCGCGUCUGAUUAGCUAGUUGGUGGGGUAAAAGCCUACCAAGGCGACGAUCAGUAGCCGGCUUGAGAGAGUGACCGGCCACAUUGGGACUGAGACACGGCCCAAACUCCUACGGGAGGCAGCAGUGGGGAAUAUUGGACAAUGGGGGAAACCCUGAUCCAGCCGACGCCGCGUGAGUGAAGAAGUAUUUCGGUAUGUAAAGCUCUAUCAGCAGGGAAGAUAAUGACAGUACCUGACUAAGAAGCCCCGGCUAACUACGUGCCAGCCGCCGC